rnacentral:rRNA from 1 species
ACCGGCGGCUCGAGUGGUGGCCACUAUUACUGGGCUUAAAGCGUUCGUAGCUGGCUUGUUAAGUCUCUGGGGAAAUCUUCCGGCUCAACCGGAAGGCGUCUCAGGGAUACUGGCAGGCUAGGGACCGGAAGAGGUGAGAGGUACUCCAGGGGUAGGAGUGAAAUCGGGUAGUCCCGGGGGGAAGAAAUGUGGGGAAGGCGACUCACCAGGAAGACUCCGACAGUGAGGAAUGAAAGCUGGGGGAGCAAGCAG